rnacentral:lncRNA from 1 species
GUGGGUGUUGUUGCUGCGGGUGUUGGUGCUGCGGGUGUUGGUGCUGCGGGUGUUGGUGCUGCGGGUGUUGGUGCUGUGGGUGCUGUUGAUCCCAUGGGUGUUGGUGCUGCGGGUGUUGUUGCUCCCAUGGGUGUUGUUGCUGCGGGUGUUGUUGCUCCCAUGGGUGUUGUUGCUGCGGGUGUUGGUGCUGCGGGUGCUGUUAAUGCUGCAGCUGUUGUCUCUGCGGGUGUUGGUGCUGCAGGUGUCAGUGCUGCGGGUGUUGUUGAUCCCAUGGGUGUUGGUGCUGUGGGUGUUGCUGAUCCCAUGGGUGUUGGUGCUGCGGGUGUUGGUGCUGUGGGUGUUGCUGAUCCCACGGGUGUCGGUGCUGCGGGUGUUGGUGCUGCGGGUGUUGGUGCUCC